CACACAGUCCAGGGCUACACACCUGAGAGCAUCAUAUCAACUGCUCCUAACAAGAGUGACUUAAGGUCUUCACAUUCAUCGUCGUCAAUCGUGUUCAUCACCUCUCGUUCCCCCCCACAUCAUGUUCGCCUGCAGAACUCUGUGCUUGGUGGUGGUGAUGGUGGCGUCCUUGGGGACCUCUGGAGUCGGUGGACGGUCUGUAGAAGGAGUAUCAAGGAUGGAGAAGCUUCUCUCGUCCAUCUCGCCGUCGUCUACGCCUCUAGGUUUCCUGUCGCAGGAUCACAGCGUCAACAAACGUCAGGUGUUCGACCAGGCGUGUAAGGGCGUGUAUGACCGCAACCUCUUCAAGAAGCUGAACCGUGUGUGUGAGGACUGUUACAACCUCUACCGCAAACCUUUCAUCGUCACCACCUGCAGGCAGAACUGUUUUGAGGGCGACACAUUCCCGAGGUGUGUGAUGGACCUUGGACUUGACCUGGAACUGUUCCUUGAGUUCAGGGAUAUGAUCAAGGGGUAGACUCACACUCAAGUCUCUACCUUAAGUGAUCGGAGGGGAGGAGGAAGGUGUACAAGAUGGGAGAACUGCUACAGUAACCGAGUGUUCCGUCAAUGUCUCGACGACCUACUCAUGAUUGAUGUGAUCGACGAGUACGUCUCCAACGUCCAGAUGGUCGGCAAGUAAACAAACACCUCAGCCAACCCCAGACAGUUCCUGCUGCGUCUACCGGUCCCCAUGGGCGUCCACGAACGUCUUUUUGGACACCGACGGAUGCCUUCGGACUUCCUUGGAACGUUUCUGAAAUCCUCCGCAGGUAUCAAAAUACGCCUGGGGAUAUCCACGGGUGCUACUGAAUGUCUAAAGAUUUGUGUGGGUACCUGAUGAAUUGCACAGGUAUCCCAAUUCUUCUAUAAGCACCUUUGGACACCUAUGGAGCUCCAGGGGCGCCCAUGAAGUUCUCAACGCUUGCCAUGAGUAGCAGGACACCGUCUCGUCUUCAUGGGUGGGUCAUAUGAAGACCGGGAAAUGUUCAUCUACCUUCAUAAAUCUGCAGAACAACCGGGAUAUAAGCCAAUAUUUACAGCGAGACGAGCAGUGCCCCGAGUGUAAUCAUCAGCUCUUAUCGUCACUGUACUAUUCUCCUCUUCCUCGAUGCCAUGGCAGCUUUUACUGGUAAUGUUUUCUCACUAAUGCGUAUAUAACUUAUGUACCUUAAAAUGUAAUGUAAGUAUUUAUUUGAGGGAGAUAAUGUAGUGGUUGGUGCAGCUGGGACAAGGGUUUGAAGCCUCGAGUCUCCCACAGUCCGACAUUUCAUUGCUAGUCAUAACUAUUAGUGGAGAUAUUUUUAUACGAUACGAGGGAUGUGUGGCGUUAGUUAGGCACUCCUGAGAGUCGUCAGUACCUCACACCCAACACACAUCCUUCCUUGCCAACACAAACACUUAACUAACACAUCACAUCACAUCAUUAACACAAGAUAAAGUAGAAUAAUCCUCUUACUUCAGUUCCUUCUUCAGUAGUGACGUUUAAACAAGUCUUUAACUAUCACGUCUACAGGGAGUAAAUAUCACGGUAGCUAAUGAACUGUAGAGAAUCCCUGAACUGAUUGUACACACAUAGACAAGUUCCCUCCACUUACACACACGCGCACGCACUCACAAACACACAUACACUUACAAAUACACACACACACACACACACACACACACACACACACACACCAAACACACAAUAUAGUUCUCGGAGUGAAAUAUUUUGUUUUAUAAGAAUGAGUCAGUUGUGAGUUAAAUCAAAUCUAUUUUUUGUGACGCCAUGUGAAAGUAGCGACAUAAAGAACAAAUGUUAGAUAAGGUAGAGGAGAGUGAAGGAGUUACCUAUAACCCCAUCACCCUCACCUCCACCUGCGUGAUACCUGAGAAUCUCAUUUGUCCUCAACCAAAGAUUAAUAUAUUAAGUGGAUACACCUGUUGCCGUAGAGGGGAGGGAUGCAAUGUCUACCAAGAUGAAUUAUAUAUGAAUAAAAAUUACAUGAUGUG
rnacentral:misc_RNA from 1 species